rnacentral:rRNA from 1 species
CACGUAGGCGGCCUGGUAAGUCAGAUGUGAAAGCCCGGGGCUUAACCCCGGAAGUGCAUUCGAUACUGUCAGGCUUGAGUAUGGGAGAGGGAAGUGGAAUUCCUGGUGUAGAGGUGAAAUUCGUAGAUAUCAGGAGGAACACCGGUGGCGAAGGCGACUUCCUGGACCAAUACUGACGCUGAGGUGCGGAGGCGUGGGUAGCAAACA